GGGUUGUGAGGUUAAGCGACUAAGCGUACACGGUGGAUGCCCUGGCAGUCAGAGGCGAUGAAGGACGUGCUAAUCUGCGAUAAGCGUCGGUAAGGUGAUAUGAACCGUUAUAACCGGCGAUUUCCGAAUGGGGAAACCCAGUGUGUUUCGACACACUAUCAUUAACUGAAUCCAUAGGUUAAUGAGGCGAACCGGGGGAACUGAAACAUCUAAGUACCCCGAGGAAAAGAAAUCAACCGAGAUUCCCCCAGUAGCGGCGAGCGAACGGGGAGCAGCCCAGAGCCUGAAUCAGUGUGUGUGUUAGUGGAAGCGUCUGGAAAGGCGCGCGAUACAGGGUGACAGCCCCGUACACAAAAAUGCACAUACUGUGAGCUCGAUGAGUAGGGCGGGACACGUGGUAUCCUGUCUGAAUAUGGGGGGACCAUCCUCCAAGGCUAAAUACUCCUGACUGACCGAUAGUGAACCAGUACCGUGAGGGAAAGGCGAAAAGAACCCCGGCGAGGGGAGUGAAAAAGAACCUGAAACCGUGUACGUACAAGCAGUGGGAGCACGCUUAGGCGUGUGACUGCGUACCUUUUGUAUAAUGGGUCAGCGACUUAUAUUCUGUAGCAAGGUUAACCGAAUAGGGGAGCCGAAGGGAAACCGAGUCUUAACUGGGCGUUAAGUUGCAGGGUAUAGACCCGAAACCCGGUGAUCUAGCCAUGGGCAGGUUGAAGGUUGGGUAACACUAACUGGAGGACCGAACCGACUAAUGUUGAAAAAUUAGCGGAUGACUUGUGGCUGGGGGUGAAAGGCCAAUCAAACCGGGAGAUAGCUGGUUCUCCCCGAAAGCUAUUUAGGUAGCGCCUCGUGAAUUCAUCUCCGGGGGUAGAGCACUGUUUCGGCAAGGGGGUCAUCCCGACUUACCAACCCGAUGCAAACUGCGAAUACCGGAGAAUGUUAUCACGGGAGACACACGGCGGGUGCUAACGUCCGUCGUGAAGAGGGAAACAACCCAGACCGCCAGCUAAGGUCCCAAAGUCAUGGUUAAGUGGGAAACGAUGUGGGAAGGCCCAGACAGCCAGGAUGUUGGCUUAGAAGCAGCCAUCAUUUAAAGAAAGCGUAAUAGCUCACUGGUCGAGUCGGCCUGCGCGGAAGAUGUAACGGGGCUAAACCAUGCACCGAAGCUGCGGCAGCGACGCUGAUGCGUUGUUGGGUAGGGGAGCGUUCUGUAAGCCUGUGAAGGUGUACUGUGAGGUAUGCUGGAGGUAUCAGAAGUGCGAAUGCUGACAUAAGUAACGAUAAAGCGGGUGAAAAGCCCGCUCGCCGGAAGACCAAGGGUUCCUGUCCAACGUUAAUCGGGGCAGGGUGAGUCGACCCCUAAGGCGAGGCCGAAAGGCGUAGUCGAUGGGAAACAGGUUAAUAUUCCUGUACUUGGUGUUACUGCGAAGGGGGGACGGAGAAGGCUAUGUUGGCCGGGCGACGGUUGUCCCGGUUUAAGCGUGUAGGCUGGUUUUCCAGGCAAAUCCGGAAAAUCAAGGCUGAGGCGUGAUGACGAGGCACUACGGUGCUGAAGCAACAAAUGCCCUGCUUCCAGGAAAAGCCUCUAAGCAUCAGGUAACAUCAAAUCGUACCCCAAACCGACACAGGUGGUCAGGUAGAGAAUACCAAGGCGCUUGAGAGAACUCGGGUGAAGGAACUAGGCAAAAUGGUGCCGUAACUUCGGGAGAAGGCACGCUGAUAUGUAGGUGAAGUCCCUCGCGGAUGGAGCUGAAAUCAGUCGAAGAUACCAGCUGGCUGCAACUGUUUAUUAAAAACACAGCACUGUGCAAACACGAAAGUGGACGUAUACGGUGUGACGCCUGCCCGGUGCCGGAAGGUUAAUUGAUGGGGUUAGCGCAAGCGAAGCUCUUGAUCGAAGCCCCGGUAAACGGCGGCCGUAACUAUAACGGUCCUAAGGUAGCGAAAUUCCUUGUCGGGUAAGUUCCGACCUGCACGAAUGGCGUAAUGAUGGCCAGGCUGUCUCCACCCGAGACUCAGUGAAAUUGAACUCGCUGUGAAGAUGCAGUGUACCCGCGGCAAGACGGAAAGACCCCGUGAACCUUUACUAUAGCUUGACACUGAACAUUGAGCCUUGAUGUGUAGGAUAGGUGGGAGGCUUUGAAGUGUGGACGCCAGUCUGCAUGGAGCCGACCUUGAAAUACCACCCUUUAAUGUUUGAUGUUCUAACGUUGACCCGUAAUCCGGGUUGCGGACAGUGUCUGGUGGGUAGUUUGACUGGGGCGGUCUCCUCCUAAAGAGUAACGGAGGAGCACGAAGGUUGGCUAAUCCUGGUCGGACAUCAGGAGGUUAGUGCAAUGGCAUAAGCCAGCUUGACUGCGAGCGUGACGGCGCGAGCAGGUGCGAAAGCAGGUCAUAGUGAUCCGGUGGUUCUGAAUGGAAGGGCCAUCGCUCAACGGAUAAAAGGUACUCCGGGGAUAACAGGCUGAUACCGCCCAAGAGUUCAUAUCGACGGCGGUGUUUGGCACCUCGAUGUCGGCUCAUCACAUCCUGGGGCUGAAGUAGGUCCCAAGGGUAUGGCUGUUCGCCAUUUAAAGUGGUACGCGAGCUGGGUUUAGAACGUCGUGAGACAGUUCGGUCCCUAUCUGCCGUGGGCGCUGGAGAACUGAGGGGGGCUGCUCCUAGUACGAGAGGACCGGAGUGGACGCAUCACUGGUGUUCGGGUUGUCAUGCCAAUGGCACUGCCCGGUAGCUAAAUGCGGAAGAGAUAAGUGCUGAAAGCAUCUAAGCACGAAACUUGCCCCGAGAUGAGUUCUCCCUGACUCCUUGAGAGUCCUGAAGGAACGUUGAAGACGACGACGUUGAUAGGCCGGGUGUGUAAGCGCAGCGAUGCGUUGAGCUAACCGGUACUAAUGAACCGUGAGGCUUAACCUUACAACGCCGAAG
rnacentral:rRNA from 1 species